rnacentral:rRNA from 1 species
GUGGGGAAUAUUGGACAAUGGGCGAAAGCCUGAUCCAGCAAUACCGCGUGUGUGAAGAAGGCCUGAGGGUUGUAAAGCACUUUCAAUAGAGACGAAAAGCCUGGAAUUAAUACUUCCGGGUCUUGACUUAACCUAUAGAAGAAGCACCGGCUAACUCCGUGCCAGCAGCCGCGGUAAUACGGAGGGUGCAAGCGUUAAUCGGAAUUACUGGGCGUAAAGCGCUCGUAGGCGGCUUGUUAAGUCGGAUGUGAAAGCCCCGGGCUCAACCUGGGAACUGCAUUCGAUACUGGCAAGCUAGAGUAUAGUAGAGGCAAGUGGAAUUCCGGGUGUAGCGGUGAAAUGCGUAGAUAUCCGGAGGAACAUCAGUGGCGAAGGCGACUUGCUGGACUAAUACUGACGCUGAGGAGCGAAAGCGUGGGGAGCAAACGGG